rnacentral:lncRNA from 1 species
UCGUCGUCUUUUUUCUUUUUUUUAUUUAAUAAUGACGAAAUUGAAAUUUCAUUCACUUCAAUAAUAAAUUACAAUAAUAUAAUUGAACUAAUCAAUACGAAUUAAAAAUUAAUACUCAUGCAAACAACUACUUUUACAUGUUUUUUAUUCUAUAACUCUUAUCAACAAUAAAAAAAAAAAAAUUAAAAGCAUUCAUUCUUCCAUGUUUAUGGAACCAUCACCAAUCAAGUGAUCAAUCUUUCCUUCAGGGUGCUCGUAAAAGUCUUCUACAUCCAAGCAUUUGAUGUCAAUAUUAUUUUCAGAGAGAAAAUUAGCCUCGGAAUUUCUCUCUUUCUUCUUUAGUGAUGCCUGAUAAAGGUUCACUAAGUGCUUGAGAGCACGACAGUCACAUGAAUAGUAUCCUUUUCCACCACAUCGAAAACAAGUAAUUGUUUCAUGUUUCUCAUCUUUUUUCUUUUUGUUAGAUAAAUGAUUAACACUCGGAACAAAGUUUCUUUCUUGGUCAUCACGACCACGACCAUGUCCACGACCUUUUCCACGCCUAGCAUGAUAAGUGUGCACAUCAUUCACCUCAGGGAAUGGUGCAGAUCCAGUUGGUCGUUCUCGUGAUUUUUCAUCAACAAAUCAUUAUUUUGUUCAGCCACGAGAAGAUGAGAACUCAUUUCAGUAUAUUUCUUGAAAUUUUUUUCUCGAUAUUGCUCCUGUAGCAGCACAUUCGAGGCAUGAAAAGUGGAGUGUCUUUUCCAUCAUAUCGUUAUCAUUGACCGUCUCUUCACAUAGUUUCAAUUGAGAAGAAAUUCUGAACAUGGCAAAAUUAUAUUCAUGAAUAGACUUGUAGUCUUUAAAUCUUAGAUGAAUCCACUCGUAUCGUACUUUAGGGAGGAUGACCAUCUUUAAGUGGUCAAACCUUUCUUUUAGACUAUUCCACAAUAUGAGUGGAUCCUUAGUAGUAAGGUACUCAAUUUUCAGAACUUCGUCAGACGCAAGAAAAUCAUAGUCUUAGCACGAUUUUGACUAGAUGCUGUAUUUUCAUUCUUUAUGGUGUCUCCAAAACCCAUAGCAUCUAGGUGGAUUUCAGCAUCCAACACCCAUGAAAUAUAGUUCUUGCCCGAACUUUGAAGGGCAAUGAACUCACACUUCGUAAGAUUGUUAGCCAUAAAAACAAGGAAGAAAACUAAUAAUACCUUAACCUUCAAAUUUGAGACAGUAGAGUCUCGUGCUAAUAACGUGUUAUAAAAUAAUAAAGAACAAGAAGAAGAGUAGAGAGAAUAGAGAGAGUGAUUCUUAU